rnacentral:rRNA from 1 species
UACGUAGGGUGCAAGCGUUGUCCGGAAUUAUUGGGCGUAAAGAGCUCGUAGGCGGUUUGUCGCGUCUGCUGUGAAAACCCGAGGCUCAACCUCGGGCCGGCAGUGGGUACGGGCAGACUAGAGUGCGGUAGGGGAGAUUGGAAUUCCUGGUGUAGCGGUGGAAUGCGCAGAUAUCAGGAGGAACACCAGUGGCGAAGGCAGAUCUCUGGGCCGUAACUGACGCUGAGGAGCGAAAGCAUGGGGAGCGAACAGG